GAACAUUUCAUCAGACAGUUGCUCAAACAUAUGGAGUUUCAAGGGAAGAAGCAAAGCAUUAUCUGCCUCUACUUUGUGAUCCUUUGCCUCCUGGGUGACAUUUUUGCUCAAAGUAGCAAAGAAUUAAGGAAGUAUGAUAAUAAUCCACCUACUGCGAAAGUGGUUCCUGUUGGUGUGAUUCUGGAUAUGCAAUCAAGGGAGGGAAAGAUUGUGCACAGUUGUAUUUCGACUGCUUUGUUAGAUUUUUAUCAUCUGCAUAGUAAUUACAGCACAAGAGUAGUACUCCACAGUAGAGACUCUAGUGGAAAACGUCUACAUGCUUUAUCAGCUGGUAAGCUAUUCUUUUUUACGGGAUGUUCUAAAAAGUUUACUUUGUAGAGUGCUAUGUUUUUUAAUUGCAUCUUCCUCAGUAGCUCAUUGGAAUUUGGCUAGUGUAUGGCAAUACAAAUUAGAUAUAUUUAUCAUCAACUUAAGAUAUUAGCUAACAUCUGUUUUAUGUAUACUUCAUGUAUUAUUCUGUCUUUAUUUUAUGCCAAGGCAAAACCAAUUAUAUUGUCAAAUGCUCUUUCCCAGAAUAUGGGAGAUGAAAAGAAUUUUUUGUAAUUUGCUUGUGCUUGUUUAGCUAUAGACAUGAUUGCAAGCUUUUUUCCCUGUUUAUAAUUACCAGGAAUCACAAAUUAGCUCUGAACAAAUCCUUAUCAGCCAAAUUUCUACGUAAUGCAGCUCUUGAUCUUGUGAAUACCAUCAAAGUGGAAGCAAUAAUUGGAGCACAAACAAGAAUGGAAGCAAACCUAUUAGCGGAUUUGGGAGAAGACGUUGAAAUCCCUGUAUUGUCUUUGUCUCAACCUAGUCUAGCUCGUCCUCUAACCGACCGAAAUCCCUUUUUUGUUGCGGUCACCCAGGAUGAAUCUGUGCAGGUUGCAGGGAUCACUGCCCUUACUGAAAUGUUCAUCUGGAGAGAUGUUAUCCUUCUAUAUGAGAGGACAGAACAUGCAGGUGACUUAAUUCCAUCGUUGAUCAAUUCCUUCCAAGAGAAAAAAUUCAAUAUUGUAUUUACAAGUACAAUUUCUUCCUCCUCAACAACUGAACAAAUCAUUGAAGAGCUUCAAAAGCUAAAGGCAUUGGAGACUACAGUAUUUAUGGUACAUAUCUCACAUUUUCUUGUGCCUCGGCUUUUCAUGAAUGCAAAGAAGCUAGGAAUGAUGAGUGAAGGGUAUGCUUGGGUUCUGACAUCAACAAGCUUGAAUUUCUUGAAUUCUAUGAAAUCUUCUGUGAUUGAGUCAAUGCAGGGAGUGUUGGGGUUGAAGUCACAUAUUCCUACUUCAAGGAGCCUCCAAAAUCUUACUUCUAGAUUGAGGAGAAAAUUUUAUAUCGAGGCGUCCCAUAUGGAAGUACAGGAAUUAAGUGCUGAUGAAAUCUGGGCAUAUGAUGCAACUUGGGUGCUAGCAGAAGCAGUUGAGAGAUCAUGGAUUAAAGUUUCUACAAGACUAAACCAAAAGGAUUACAAAGAUACUGAGUCCUUUAAGCUUGGAGGUGUGCUUCUUGAAGAGAUACUGCAAAGUAGAAUUAAAGGGGUAAGUGGUGAAAUUCAGUAUUCAGAGCAGAAGCUAAUUGCAGGCAAACUUGACAUAGUGAAUGUGAUAGGAAAGGGGGAGAGAAGGGUUGGAUUUUUGACCUUUGAAGAAGAAAAAACAAAAGAAUCACAGCCCCUUAAAAACAAAAGAAAAUUACUUUCCACUAGUGAUCUGGAAGCAGUCAUAUGGCCUGGAGGAUCAUCAACCAUUCCGAAAGGUACGAAGAAGAAAUUGAUUGAAACAAAAUUAAGAGUUGGUGUUCCUCCAAGGAGAGGGUUCAAGGAACUUGUGCAUGUGAAACAUGACCUCCAAACCAAUAAAACAUAUAUCACAGGCUUCUGUAUAGAUGUGUUUGAAACUGCAAUAAGAGGAUUGCCGUAUAACGUACAAUAUGAGUUUAUUCCCUUUCAGGAUGCUAAUGGACAUUUGGCUGGGACAUACAAUGAUCUUGUUUACCAGGUUUAUCUCCAGGUAUGCUGAAUUUUGAUCAUAAAUUUUAUGAUUGUGAUGAUACGAUAUAUGAAUAAAAAAAACCCUCCUCAUACAUUACACACAUUGUACACUCUUUAGUAUAAAGUUUAUUUUCUACAUUUGUCAGUUAUUCUCAUUAUAUGUGGAUGUUUGUAAUAUAAUUAAAACACCCUUUUCCUGUUGUACUCAUUGGGGUGUUGUUAACUACGUGAUAUUUUCUUCCUGCUGUACUUAUUGGGGUGUUGUUGAUGACCAGAAAUACGAUGUUGUUGUUGGAGAUACGACGAUCAUAUCAAACAGAUCGCUGUAUGUUGAUUUCACAGUACCAUAUUCUGACUUAGGUGUUGGAAUGCUAGUAGCAAAUGAAAAGGAAAACAUGUGGAUUUUCUUAAGACCUUUUUCAGCAGACCUUUGGAUGACAAGUGCUGCUUUCUUUAUCUUAACUGGUUUAGUUGUGUGGGUAAUUGAGCGUCCUACAAACAAAGAAUUCCAGGGCACACCAUCACAGCAAAUUGGAACAAUAUUUUGGUUCUCCUUUUCAACCCUUGUGUAUGCUCAUAGUAAGUGCCAUUUAUAUCUCACUUCUAGAUUUUAUGGAAAAAGUUGUUUUCAUCCCCCUUAUUUAAAUUCUUUGAGAUUUUCUGCUAAGCGAUUACUCAGUAGUAACUGUUGACAGUUCAUCCAAUAGUACUUCCCAUCAUCAUAAGUCGAUUUUGAUAAUGAAACACAGAUUCAUGAUUGAAUCUAGAUAUAACAAUUUCUUAAAAAAAAAAUUUAGGUUUUCAAAUAAAAUUUAUAAUUUGUAUGAGUUAACAAAUUUUGAUAAAUCUAUUUUCAUCUGUCAAAAUGACUCUGUGUUCAUCAGGUCUAAGAUGCUCUUGCACUAAUAUUAAGAUUCAUACUUAUGAAUAAAAUUCCAGUUAAUCAUAUAAUUUAUAGCUCAGCUUGAAUGAGAUGGACUAUGAUUCAGACAACUAUUGUACUAUGCAUAUAACAUUUGACGGAUUUGAGAGUGAAACUUUUUAUGUUGCAGGGGAGAAGUUAUUGAACAAUUCAGCAAAGUUUGUAGUGGUCAUAUGGGUUUUUGUAGUUCUUAUAUUGAAUUCUAGUUACACUGCAACUUUAGCAUCAAUGAUGACCGUUAAACAAAUAGAAUUAAAUGCCAGAGGGAACUACAUAGGUUACCAGUUUGGUUCAUCAGUGGUCACCGCACAUGCUGUAGAAAACUUGAAUUUCAGAGGGGCUAAACCAUAUCGUUCAAUUGAAGCAUAUGCUGAUGCUUUAUCAAGAGGAAGUAAGCAUGGUGGUGUUUCUGCUAUUGUUGACGAGGUACCAUACAUUAAGAUCUUCCUGGCAAAGUAUACUGUGGGCUACUCCAUGAUUAAGACCGAGUCUACUACCAAUGGGUUUGGCUUUGUGAGUAACCUCAAUUUUUUCAUCCACGCUCUUUUAUUCAAAUAAAUAGAUGUUGGAAUAUCACUGAAACUAGCAAAGAAGCAUAUUAUGUGUGUCUAUUUCAAUUACUAACAGAUUUGCAAGUAAAUAAUUACUAAAAAUAUUACGCUUUUAUAACCAGAAAAGUAUAAUAAAGAAAGUUGUCUUUUAUAAUAAUCUGAUUCCUAGUUGGUUUUCACCUUUCCGAUCCAGGUUUUCCCUAAAGGCUCGAAAUUGGCACACGACAUGUCAGUGCAAAUUGAAAAACUGAGAGAAGAAGGAAAGCUUUUAGAGAUGGAAAAGGCCUGGUUUCAUUAUAAUGCAAAUCACAUGUUUGAGGACACAACAAAUCCUCCCAAUGCUCUUAAUCUCAGCAGCUUUCGUGGUUUAUUCCUUGUUAGUGGGGUUUCUUCAGCUUUCGCUCUUUUCUUGUUCACAAUUUCCCCACUCAAAAAGAAAUGGCAACUUGUGAAGAAAUGCAGAUAUCUUGUUCAGGAAAAGCUGCUUAGUGUAAGGAAAUUGCUUUCUAACAAAGUUUCUGACCAAAAUGCAGAAAACAAUAGUGCAUGAUGCUUGCUAUGAACCUAUAUAACUAGCUAGAUUGAUGUUCUGGUAGCAUUGAGGCAGUAAUCUUGACUGCUGUUUAUCAGGAUUUAGGAUCAACAUCAUCACUGCAUCGCUCCUUAUUUACAAAGAGGGCAUCCUUUGGGAGCAGUUACAAACCAUCUUUGGCUCUCACUAUUCACUGACACACAGAAUUGCUAGCUAUUCUAUAUUAGCAUCUCUCUGAGAGCAUAGCUAGCUGAUCAUGUAAUUAGCAUGUCCUCUCAUCAUCUCUUUCACUUCUACAAGUAUGAAAUUUCAAUGCAUUCACAAGAGGCAAUCGAAUUCUACCUCAUCAAGUUGUAGAGUUUGAGCCAAUUUCAUGCCUACAUAAGUCGCUUCACUAUUGCACUUCAACCAGUCAGGUAGUGGAGCAUCCCAUCCCCGUCAUUGUACCCCUUGGAGAUAUUUGCUGCAGCAAACACACUUAGCCAACACAUAGCUACCAUGGAAGCUUCACUUGGAUGCUAGCUGCCUAUUACUUUCCCAUAGCUGGGCAUUCUGAUUCUUCCAAAUAAACCAUAUAGGUGAUAUAGCCAUUAAGGCCUUGUUAAUUGUAACCAAUAGCAACCAGUCCUUCAAAUCAUCUACAACCAAUCCUUCAAUUAGGGUAUAACUAAUAAGCACAUAGAGAUAUAUUGUAAGUGGCGUUCCGGACAUGGGAUUAAUAGAAAUAGGCCGGUAGCAAUAGCUGCUGUCACUCUUUGCUCUCUAGGCUCUGCAGUUUUCUAUUUUCAAUUUUCAAUUUUCAAUUUCUAGCAGAUAUCCCCAAGCGCGUCAAUAUGUCUUAUUUCGAUUAUGAGGAGGAUGAAGUAUAUAUAUAUAUAUAUAUAUAUAUAUAUAUAUAUAUAUACACUACUUCUAAAUGAAGAAAAUCCCAACUGAUGCACAAUAGUGACAAUACAUACAAAAAUAUUCCAGCAACACCAAAUUACUACUUCCCACAAAAACUGUUGGUUGGUUUACUGUCCCAUUCAUCAAACUCUAUGAUGUUUACAGUAGAGUAAAACUUGUGGCUGUUUCAGGUGGCAGAGGCCCGGACCCUGACCUCCUAUUAGUUUAUGGACCUGCAAGAUGCCACAUUGGCUUCCCUGCAUGGAGAAUUCGAUAUCCUGAGAUUGUAUUUGUGUGAGUAUUCUUAAGACCACCUAAGUUGAUGAAAGUUGUUUGUCUAGUUGCAUAUAUCGCUUAGUUUUAAGCCAAUCACUAACGACAGUUACUGAAUAUUUGUGGUGCAGACACAUGGUCCAACUAUAGUGUACGAGAUAUGGUUCCCUAGUUUUGUUAGGUAGUGUUGUUGUCCAAGUACUUCUUCUUAUAUAGUAUGUAAUGAUGAUUACAUGCUUGAAAUGAAAUUAAGAAAUGAGGAAAUGAUUCCGCAUAAGAGAAAUUCGGUGUUUACUUACAUAGAAAAAUGAGAAUGUAUGUGGGUCUUAUUUUCAAAUUAUGAAUUUAUUCUUUAACAACGCAGAUUUGAAAACCUAAAAGGAUCGGGGCUGCCAAAACAUAUUUUAAUAAUAAUUCCUUUUAAAAGAGAAAGUAAUAAGUCUUUUUUGAAAGUAGAAAGUAAUAAAUCUUGAUUGCACUCAUACUUUCACAGGAACCUACUCUUGCCUACUCGGCGUAAUAGCACCCAUUCAAGAUAUUUGAGGCCUUGACAACACACUGUUACAUCAAAAUCCAAUUUUGAAUGCUCUCAACAAUUCCAGCCUCAGUCCAACCAGCCUCCUCGAAAUUUCGGUGGCAUUGUUCCAAUUCAACGCUCGACUGCCAAGUAAUCUCAACCCAGAAGAUGGUUUUGCAGUUCCAUAUUUUGACCUGGUCUUUCUCCUCAUCUCUCUCAGCUUUUCUCUUGCACAUAUUCAAAGGUACACUGCUCUAUCUCUAUGCAGUCGUUAACUGUUGCAAAUUGUUAUCUGACCCAGCUCUGUUGCUUGCAAUCUCUAGAAUCUCUGACCUUUUAACAGAGUAAAUUCCAUGAAUAUAGGAUUCGUUCAACAAUGGAUAUAUGCGCAUUGUCGUUGACAUACUGCAAGGGAGUAGCACAAUACAAGUUUGAUCAUACUAAGUUUGAUGAUAACAAAGGGCCAUAGAAGAUCAAUAUAUCAGAAGUUUUUUUUUUUAAAGUUACUAUGCUGCUAGAGUCACUAUGGACUGUCUAUAUUUGAAUAAAUAAGAUUAGAUCAUUAGAUAUUGUAACUGGUUACAAACUUGCAGGAAUGCACAAUACUUUGCUUGUCACAUUCAAGCUGCAUCAGCAAUGAUGCUAUACACUUUGUCAAGCUGUUCAAGUUACAUUCGUUCAUAUAUGUCUUGACUUAUUUAGUCCUACCAGUAUUCUGUUGAAAUGUAUACAUGUUGGAAUCCCACCUUAAUCUAAGUCUCACAUCAUUUUGGUUUAUAAGAAAUUAAAAAAAUCUAAUUCUCACAUCUACUACAUGCAACAGCACUUUGCUCGGUCAACCGGCAUACUUUUCUUCCCUGGAGUAAUGUCCUCAAUUAUGUGUUUUCCAAUCUAUCCCUGAUGAUUAGAAUAUUAUUGACAAAUGGCUGUAGUUUUUUCAUGCAGCUAAUAUAAAUUUUUGGAUUUUGUGGUUUAGGAAUCUGAAUAUGAACUUAUAUAUAAGCAAUAUGAUGUUAAAGGAGAGAACAUUUCAUCAGACAGUUGCUCAAACAUAUGGAGUUUCAAGGGAAGAAGCAAAGCAUUAUCUGCCUCUACUUUGUGACCCUUUGCCUCCUGGGUGACAUUUUUGCUCAAAGUAGCAAAGAAUUAAGGAAGUAUGAUAAUAAUCCACCUACUGCGAAAGUGGUUCCUGUUGGUGUGAUUCUGGAUAUGCAAUCAAGGGAGGGAAAGAUUGUGCACAGUUGUAUUUCGACUGCUUUGUUAGAUUUUUAUCAUCUGCAUAGUAAUUACAGCACAAGAGUAGUACUCCACAGUAGAGACUCUAGUGGAAAACNNNNN
rnacentral:lncRNA from 1 species